AAACCAGUAAAACCAGUUCCUCCUGAACAUCUGACCCACUGACCAGCUGCUGGAGCCUCGUCUCCUCUCUGGUGAACUCCACCUCUCCUCUCCACCAGGGGGCGCCAUGCUCCAGUAGGCGGCGCUCUCCUUGUGCUCUGUGUUCCAGCAUUGUGUCAAUAAGAAGUGGUGCUGUGAAGAGAACAAUAGUCAGACUGAAUGUUGAACAUCAGCUGCUUCCUCCUGCUGAUUUAAACCUUGGUGGACAGAUGGAACAUUGGCUGUGGAUUAUUCUGGCUGCUCUUUUCUCUGAGUGUAAAGGAGACUCAGUGAAGCAGACAGAAGGAGAAGUUGUUGCUGCUGCAGGAGAAUCACUGACUCUGAGAUGUACCUAUGAGACCAGUGACACUUUUCCAAGUUUAUUCUGGUACAGGCAAGAAGAAAACAGUUUCCCAAAGUUCAUGCUGAAGCAGCGAUUAUCAGCCAAAGAUAAAGCUCCAGAGUUCAACAGCAGCAGAUUUGAUGCUGACUUCAACAGCACCAUAAAAUCCUUCAACCUGAAGAUCCAGGAUCUCCAUCUGUCAGACUCUGCUGUGUACUACUGCGCUCUGCAGCCCACAGUGACAGGAAACACCAGAACCCUGUACAAAAACAUUUGAUUUCUCUGUCAGAGCAGCAGGUGAAACGGAUCAGCAGAACACUGAGGACUGAUGGCCGACCCGUUUUAAAAUGUUCUGUGCCGUUCUUGGAUCUGAACCAAGCAUCAUCUUCCUCUGGGCACAAGAUAAUCAGUCCAGU